rnacentral:rRNA from 1 species
AUUGAACGCUGGCGGCAUGCCUUACACAUGCAAGUCGAACGGUAACAGGUCUUCGGAUGCUGACGAGUGGCGAACGGGUGAGUAAUACAUCGGAACGUGCCUAGUAGUGGGGGAUAACUACUCGAAAGAGUGGCUAAUACCGCAUGAGAUCUACGGAUGAAAGCAGGGGAUCGCAAGACCUUGUGCUACUAGAGCGGCCGGUGGCAGAUUAGGUAGGUGGUGGGAUAAAAGCUUACCAAGCCGACGAUCUGUAGCUGGUCUGAGAGGACGAUCAGCCACACUGGGACUGAGAGACGGCCCAGACUCCUACGGGAGGCAGCAGUGGGGAAUUUUGGACAAUGGGCGAAAGCCUGAUCCAGCAAUGCCGCGUGCAGGAUGAAGGCCUUCGGGUUGUAAACUGCUUUUGUACGGAACGAAAAGCCCCGGGUUAAUACCCUGGGGUCAUGACGGUACCGUAAGAAUAAGCACCGGCUAACUACGUGCCAGCAGCCGCGGUAA